rnacentral:rRNA from 1 species
GGGAUUGCCYUAGGACCGCWGACAGAAGCGGCAACAGCUCAAAUKUGAAAUCUGGCGCAAGCCCGAGUUGUARUUURUAGAGGAUGCUUCUGGCCAGCGGCCGUUYUAAGUUCCUUGGAACAGGACGUCAUAGAGGGUGAGAAUCCCGUAUGUGACCGGCGCGCAGCCUUUACGUAGCUCCUUCGACGAGUCGAGUUGUUUGGGAAUGCAGCUCUAAAUGGGAGGUAAAUUUCUUCWAAAGCUAAAUACCGGCCAGAGACCGAUAGCGCACAAGUAGAGUGAUYGAAAGAUGAAAAGCACUUUGGAAAGAGAGUUAAAAAGCACGUGAAAUUGUUGAAAGGGAAGCGCUUGCAACCAGACUUCGUAGCGAUGUUCCGCCGGUCUUCUGACCGGUCUACUCAUCGUCGCGAGGCCAACAUSGGKSUGGGGCCGCCGGAUAAGACCUAAGGGAAUGUKAGCYUUUYCGAGGA